UACGUAGGGGGCGAGCGUUGUCCGGAUUUAUUGGGCGUAAAGAGCGUGUAGGCGGCUUCACAGGUCCGCUGUGAAAACUCGAGGCUCAACCUCGAGCUGUCGGUGGAAACCGUGUGGCUAGAGUCCGGAAGAGGAGAGUGGAAUUCCCGGUGUAGCGGUGAAAUGCGCAGAUAUCGGGAAGAACACCCGUGGCGAAGGCGGCUCUCUGGGACGGUACUGACGCUGAGACGCGAAAGCGUGGGGAGCGAACAGG
rnacentral:rRNA from 1 species